AUACUUACCUGGCAGGGGAGAUACCACAAUCAUGAAGGUGCUUUUCCAGGGCUAGGCUUAUCCAUUGCACUCCACUGCAGAAUUUGUGGUAGUGGGGGAUUGCCUUCGUACUUUCCACGU
rnacentral:snRNA from 1 species